rnacentral:misc_RNA from 1 species
CACAGGCAUAUUUCUAAGGGAUCGCAGACUUUCAUUGACCAAGAUCAUGGACGGCAAGUUUCCGAUUGCACUGCAGAAAGUAUGAAGUGUUGUCUGCUUUUCUCUAUGAUGCCCGCGCAAGUUGUUGGUGAGAAAAUAGAACCUAAGAAGCUGUACGAUUCUGUCAAUGUCUUACUUUCUCUUCAGAGUAAAAAUGGUGGUUUAUCAGCCUGGGAACCAGCAGGAGCAAGAUUAUGGUUGGAGGUAACUAAUUCAUGAUGGUGAACUAAUCUUAAAGAAGUGAAUUGAAAAUCUUUACACUAUCAUUCCUCCAAAAGUUUUCAAUGAUUGUAAUUAAUUACAUUUCCCCUUUUUAAUUAGUGGCUCAAUCCUGUGGAGUUUCUUGAAGACCUUGUAAUUGAGCACGAGUAUGUGGAGUGUACUUCAUCAUCAAUCCAGGCCUUGGUUCUAUUCAAGAAGUUAUAUCCUGAGCACAGGAAGAAAGAGAUCGAAACGUUCCUUGUAAAUGCUGUGCAAUUCCUUGAACACAUACAAAAGCCAGAUGGUUCAUGGUAUGGUUAAUUUACUAGUGAUUGCUGGUUGUAAACCCAAAAUAUCUGCAGCAAUCAGUUAUUUAUAUAACAAGGAUUAUCGAAGGUAUGGAAAUUGGGGAAUAUGCUUCCUUUAUGGCACGUGGUUUGGGCUUGGAGGGUUAGCUGCUGCUGGCAAGACUUACAACAAUUGUGCUGCUAUUCGUAAAGGUGUUGAUUUUCUUCUUAAAUCACAAAGAGAUGAUGGUGGAUGGGGGAAAAGUUACCUUUCCUGCCCAAAGAAGGUAUAUACUCCUCUUGAGGGUAACCGAUCAAAUUUGGUACAGACUGCCCUGGCUAUGAUGGGUUUGAUUCAUGGCGGACAGGCCCAAAGAGACCCUACACCUCUACAUCGCGCUGCAAAGUUGUUGAUCAAUUCACAGACACAACUUGGUGAUUAUCCACAACAGGAAAUAAUGGGAGUGUUCAUGAGGAAUUGUAUGUUACACUACUCAGCAUAUAGGAAUAUUUUUCCCAUGUGGGCUCUGGCAGAAUAUCUCCGGCAUGUUCCUUUGCCUCCGAAAAAUAUCUAAAUCAUGUCUAAAGUGUUGGGAAAUGUAAGAUUUUUAUACCUAAGCUUAUUAAAUUAUAUAUGUGUAGGGUAUGGAAAUGACUAUGGAGAUGAAGUGGAAGGCUAUGCAAAUAAAGUGAAUGUUUAU